rnacentral:rRNA from 1 species
UGUCUUUAAGAGAUAAUUUAAGGUCGGGCCUGCUCACUGAAAAAUUAAAGAGCCGCGGUAUUUUGACCGUGCAAAGGUAGCAUAAUCAAUAGUUUUUUAAUUGAAGACUGGAAUGAAUGGUUUGACGAGAUAUAAGCUGUCUUAAUAUUAAUUAUUGAAUUUUAUUUUUAAGUUAAAAAGCUUAAAUAAAUGAGAGGGACGAGAAGACCCUAUAGAUUUUGAUAAAAUUAUUAUUUAUUAUUAUAGGAAAAUUUAUAAUAAUUUUAUUUAGUUGGGGUGAUAUAAGAAUCAAUAAACUUCUUUUUUUAUAUACAUAAAUAAAUGAAUUAGUGAUCCUUUAUUAAAGAAUAUAAGAUUAAAAUACCUUAGGGAUAACAGCGUAAUUUUAUUUGAGAGUUCAAAUCGAAAAUGAAGAUUGCGACCUCGAUGUUGGAUUAAGAUAAUUUUUUGGUGCAGUAAUUAAUUAAAUAGGUCUGUUCGACUUUUAAAAUCUUACGUGAUCUGAGUUCA